rnacentral:lncRNA from 1 species
AAUUAUUAUGUAUAACUUUACCAUUCUUCCUCUCAAACUUACCAUCCUUCUUCGAGAAUUUUCAUUUUAGAGAUAAACCUUCUCCAACAGAUGAUGGCUUUUGCUAUUUUCUUUCUGUCAAGUCCUUCAAUUACAAGGUUGAUUUAACUUCUUUAAAGGUCAGGGACUCUCUUCCAUACAAGAGGGUUUCUUUGAAGUGAGCAUGAGAUCUUGGUAAAGCACACAACAACAACAACACUUGAUCCUCAUGAUCAAUC